rnacentral:rRNA from 1 species
AAUACUACCUAGUGACCGAUAGCGUAUAGUACCGUGAGGGAAAGGUGAAAAGAACCCCGGGAGGGGAGUGAAAUAGAACCUGAAACCCUGCACUUACAAGCUGUGGAAGCACAUUUCUUGUGUGACCGCGUACUUUUUGUAGAACGGGCCAACGAGUUACGUUAAGUAGCAAGGUUAAGCACUUAAGGUGCGGAGCCGUAGCGAAAGCGAGUUUUAACUGAGCGUUCAGUUACUUGACGUAGACCCGAAACCGGGCGACCUACCCAUGAGCAGGAUGAAGCGAAAGUAAAAUUUCGUGGAGGUCCGAACCCACGAGCG